GACGAACGCUGGCGGCGUGCUUAACACAUGCAAGUCGAACGGUAAGGCCCUUCGGGGUACACGAGUGGCGAACGGGUGAGUAACACGUGGGUGAUCUGCCCUGCACUUCGGGAUAAGCCUGGGAAACUGGGUCUAAUACCGGAUAGGACCACUGCCUGCAUGGGUGGGGGUGGAAUGCUUUUGCGGUGUGGGAUGGCACCGGGGCCUAUCAGGUUGUUGGUGGGGUGAUGGCCUACCAAGGCGACGACGGGUAGCCGGCCUGAGAGGGUGACCGGCCACACUGGGACUGAGAUACGGCCCAGACUCCUACGGGAGGCAGCAGUGGGGAAUAUUGCACAAUGGGCGCAAGCCUGAUGCAGCGACGCCGCGUGAGGGAUGACGGCCUUCGGGUUGUAAACCUCUUUCAGCACCGACGAAGCGCAAGUGACGGUAGGUGCAGAAGAAGGACCGGCCAACUACGUGCCAGCCGCCGCUGUAA
rnacentral:rRNA from 1 species